rnacentral:ncRNA from 1 species
UGAUAGAGGUGCGAAGGUCAAGAGUACCCUUUCCCGUCCGGCAGGCCCGGGGAGAGGGGAAAGGGGCCUUUGCCGAGGCCCCGCGGACUUUGGCCUGAAAGCCGCGAAGCCGGGCUGCGGGAGAAGAUCCCGCAGACUGUCGCCCCGGGAAGGGGGCGGAGCGCUGUCGU